rnacentral:lncRNA from 1 species
GGGGGAGGGGGUUAAAUGAUACCCCCCUCUUUUGUGGUAGUUAUCAUGAAAAAGUCUGCACAUAGCUAAUGGCAAGUAAGUUAAAAAAUAAUAAUAACUAAAAAUUUAAGAGCAAUUUAUUAACAAAUGUAUAACAAAACCUCCACAUUGUAAAAAAAAAAAGCCUUCAUGAUUUAAAUGUUUUUUGAAUUUUUCAUUUUACAUGAUUUUUAUAGCUACAUGAUAUAAUUGGUAUAAUUCUUCUCAUCACACAUAUAUAGUAAAGUUCUAUGAAAUAUUUACCAUAAAAAAUAAUAUGGAGGUAACCUCCUAUGAAGAUCUAACUAAUAAAAUAACAUGCUAAAAGUAGAGGCUCACCUGGCAUUUUGGCAUAAAAUUGAUGCAAAAGAUUAAGUAUAGUUUUGAUGGUCUCUGGCAAAAAGGCAAAAAAUGAUAAAAUUGUUUAUCAAGGGCAAUAACUCAUAUUGACUGACGAUUUCAGCCACGUUGACUUAUUUGACCUGAUUGAUGUUUUUUAUGUUAAUAGUUUUCUGCAAAUAACACAAAAAUGUUAUGUGUAAAAUUUGUAUUUUCAGAGCAAUUUAGCAAAAGUGUAGAUUUUGUCCAACUGACCAUUGUUGCCAUUUACAAUUCAUCUAGGGCAAUAACUCCCAUACAUAACUGACAAACAAUCUCAUCCAUAAUGGAUGAUGAUGGAAGUUUUUAACGAUCUAGAGUGGAUAUACAGACCUUGCACGGUCAGUCUCAUCCAGGAAAACUUAUUCAUAGAUCAAGUUUUUGAUGAUAAAUUUAUGCUACUAACAUUUUUUUCUAUCUACUAUUCUCUCCACAAAAGCACAAAAAUGGAUAACCAUCUUUCAGGGGCAAUAACUCCUAUAGGUCAAAUGAAAAUAUCAGCCAUGUUCACCUUUAUGUAGAUAUUGUAAUGAUAAUUGUAGUUGUUAGCAGUUUCCACUAAAAACACAAAUAUGGAUGAAAUUUAUCUUUCCAGGGCAGUAAUUCCUACAUGGAGUUAUUUCUACCAUGAUGAUAUACACAGAACUUGUAGAUUUCCUGUUCAAUGUAUCUAUUAUAGUUUCAAUGAUAAUAGCCAUAUUUGCAUUUAAAAGUUCUCAUUUAAGGGCAAUAUCUCCUAUCACAAGUGUCCUUGAAUGGAAAUGUUGAUUGGCAAGUGGAAUCAUCAAAUUCAUUUGUUAAACCAAAGAAUAAUUUGGGUCAAGUUUGGUUCCAAUAAGCACAUAGUUUCAAAGGAAAAGUUUUUUGGAAACGUCAACAAAAGACCAUGAACACCAAGUGAGCUAAAAAUAUACAUUUUUUAGAAUAGAUAUUUGGCUGAAAAAAACUAAGUUUAAUAUAAAUUCUCAUCUCAACAGUCUCUAAAGAAACUAUCUGUCAUUUUAAAUAUCAUUUAAAUAAAAUACAAGAAAAUAUUAUAAAAAAAACAUUUGCUUGAAUCCUUUGGUCAUACUUUUACAGUGUUCAGGAUAUUGAAAAAUACUUUAUGAAUAUAUAUUGUAACAAUUAUGAAGCACUGUCAUUUAAAAAAUAGAAAUCUUUGGUAUAUUUAUUACUGACAUUGUAAAAAAUGUGACUACAACAUCCUCCUUACUACCACCAAAUAUUCGUAGCAUUCCCAAAAUAUUGUUAUUACCAUUCUCUUGUACAAACAAACAUGCAUAGCAUUACCAAAUAUGGCUCUCUACCCUUUUGCUAUCAACUUCAUAUACAAUUCUAAAUAUAAAAUACUUAGUUCACUCCCUUUAUACAACUAACUACACAUUUAAAGCAUGAUUACUUAUAACUGAUUUAUUUAAGAUUCAUAACACUAUAUAUCAAACAAUAAUAUCACUGAGAUAGAACAAAGUUAUUCCUGUUAUCAAUAUUUAAAUAUUAAAAUAUGUAUAAAAUAUAUAAAGUUCACCAACACAUGUUAGAAUGAAUACUUGUAAUAACACAAUAGGUUGUGAUUAUUAUUUAACAAGGAUAUAUGACCAUACCCUGCUAAACACCCAUCCCCAACCACACAAUCAGGUUAAUCAGGUUUCAAAGUAACUUGGCACAUAAUUUUAAAUAAAGGCAACAUUAGUAUACCACUGUUUAAAAGCCAUAAAUCCAUUCAGAGAAAACAAAUCUGGAUAAUAAACUAAAACCGAGGAAACUCAACAACUAUAAGAGGAAAACAACAAAACAACAGAAACACUGAACUGUAAAAAAUAAUUUCUGAAUUAACAGUAUGACUUUCUUUACUACAUACAUUUUCAAGUACAGUAAUAGACAACACACAGAUUUGUGUUUCAGCCUAAAACAGGUAUUCAAAUAUAAAAUAUAGGAGAGCCUUGGUGUAGUGGUUAGUGCAUCAGACUACUAACAUAAAGGCUCUGGUUCGAUCCCUGCUCCAGGGAGAAAAUUUUAGGGACUGAAUUUUUGGCUCUCCCUUGACACCAUUUGCGAGUAUAGUUUUGAGAAACAAUGAUAGUCCGUCGGAAGGUGACGAUAAAUGGCUGACCCCUGAUAAAAGAGAGCCAUAUUUCUUGCAGGUUAAAC